CAACUCGCCUGUAUGAAGUCGGAAUUGCUAGUAAUCGCGGAUCAGCAUGCCGCGGUGAAUACGUUCUCGGGCCUUGUACACACCGCCCGUCACACCAUGGGAGUCGGUAACACCCGAAGUCUGUAGCCUGACGCAAGAGGGCGCAGCCGAAGGUGGGAUUGAUGACUGGGGUGAAGUCGUAACAAGGUACC
rnacentral:rRNA from 1 species